rnacentral:rRNA from 1 species
GACAGAGGUCCCAAGCGUUAGGCGGAAUCACUGGGCUUAAAGCGUGUGUAGGCGGAUUUGUAAGUACCUUGUGAAAUCCCAUGGCUCAACCAUGGAACUGCUUGGUAUACUGCUUAUCUUGGGCCAUCUAGGGGCGAGCGGAACAAACGGUGGAGCGGUGAAAUGCGUAGAUAUCGUUUGGAACGCCAAUGGUGAAAACAGCUCGCUGGGGAUGUGCCGACGCUGAGAUACGAAAGCCAGGGGAGCGAACGGG